rnacentral:tRNA from 1 species
GGGUGCCGGGGCUUCUCCCGUUUAAAAGAGACGGGAGAAGG